rnacentral:misc_RNA from 1 species
UUUCCGUAGGUGAACCUGCGGAAGGAUCAUUAUUGUAUAACAAAGGUUCGAGGGCUGUCGCUCGCGCGAAAGACCAAACAGGCCAGAGUGCGCGCGCACACAUGGAUCCCACCCCAAUGGGCACCACCGCGGGGGUCCCCCUUGAGCUUUGUCGGUGGGGGGCUUACGUGUUCACACGGACUUUGUAUUCAGUGUAAAAUGUAUUUUUUGUUUUUACGAUCACGCGAUCAAUACAACUGUCAACAACGGAUCUCUUGCCUCUCGCAUCGAUGAAGAACA